AAAUUCGUUUUUUAUUUUCGACUAAUUUAUAUAAUUUAUUCAUUAAGGGUAUAAACGAUUUAUUAUUAAUUUUAAAUCAUUUUUUUAAUAAGAUAGAUUUGAAAUUCGUUUUUAUUUUUUUGAUUAAUUUAUAUUAUUAUUCAUUAAGGGUAUAAACGAUAUUAACCGCUCUAACUUUUAACGUGAGAGCUCCGUUGAAAAAUUUUACUUUGCGAAUAAUAGUAUAGAUAUUUUUUUUUUGAUUUUUUAAAUAAAAAAUGUGGUCAAAGACGAAAUAACCCUUAAUGAAAUAGCUUAAUUACAAGGAUCCAACUCUAAAGACCCGACCGACCCAAACCCUACUCGGUUUAAUCCGGAUCCUAAUCUAAACGACGGCGUUCCCUCCUCAAUCGUCCCUAUCUCUCUUACUUUUCUGAUUUCACGUCUUCUUCAUGUUCUUCCCAAUUCUCCCUCUCUUUCUGGCGACGGCGAAGCGAAACCGUAGAGAACCAAACCGGACCUCUUCAACGAACUCAAUUCAUCGUACAGAAGCGAAAAAAACAUCACACAAUAAACAUGACCACUUUGUGUUCUUCUCCAUCUUCCCCGCGAUUCUUCGCCACCAAAUCUGAACUCUACAAAGCUCCUUUUUUAUCCUUCUCCAUUCUAAAACGAUGUCAUUCUCGUCCUCCCCGUAAUCUAAACUCUAAUGACUCAACUUAUCGCGACGGCAAUCUUUUUACAAUCUGCACUUCGUCUUCCUCUGAAGACCAACGUCUAAUCUUAACCUAGACGUCCACCGUAUCUCCCCCUAGCUACUUCCCGCUUCAAGCUCUUUCUCGAUUCGGGGAAAGACGCUGUCUCCGACUUGCAAACUUUAGUCUCGCUAGACGUGCAGGAAAUCAACUAUGCAGUUUGUUGGAGGUGUGGUUUCGAUUGGUGUUUGGUUUUUCAGUUAGGAUUUUUGUAUGUUUGUGAACAGCUUUUAAGGGUGGUUUACAAGGGAGACCCAAGUUGGUAGUUAGGAGAGAUAGAAGUCUUGGUGGGAAGGAAGUGGUUGUAGCUGUUGAUAACAUUGGUUCAUCUUCAAGCUCCGUAGCUUCUUCUGGUCAGGCUUCUAAAAAUAACUCUGUAGCUAGAACCCUCAAGCUUUGAGCUCAGAACAAUUUUCCGAAAUGGUGGCCUGCUUCAUUGCCUAGACACAGCUUGGAAGUAGACAAAGAAGACUAUCAGAGAGAAGUCAACAUAAUCGUUAGGGGUUGUUUCUAUAAACUCCUUCAAUGUCAUCUCUUUUGGAUUUUCAUCACAAGCUUUUGCUUAAAGACAACUUCUUUUGUCUGUUUUGUUUCAGCUGAAGAAGCUGAUAAAACAGAGCAAGGAAUUAUGGAAGAAGAGGGAAGAAACUGAGAAGUCAUAAGCCAAUUAAGUUGUAAACCUGAGAGUCUCUGCGUUUCACUUUAACGAUAUUAGCAACAUGGUGUAAGAGACUUGUGAAGCUUGAGCUUAGUGGUUGUGAAGGUAGCUUUGAUGGGAUUAAAGCCAUUGGGAAAUGUUGUGACCACAGACCUGCUGAGAAUCUCGGCUUGUAGAAAGGUGGAUCCUUGUACUGGACCAGAGAAGUUGAUGAGGUCUUGCCCGGCUCUCGAGAGUUUGCAACUCAAAAAGUGUUGUUUGAAUGAUAAAGAAGGGACGAGAGCUUCUUGGGGUAUUAUAUUUUAUCUUCGGUGGAUCCUUGUCCUGGACCAGAGAAGCGUUGGGAGCUUCUUGAUGUUUUAUAUCAAUUAGGUACAGUAUGAUGUUUUGCAUAAAAUUAUAGUAUUGAGAAAACUUAUUGUUGAUUUUAUUUUUGUUGUUAUGUUUGGAAAACCAAAGAAACGUUUGUGAUAUUUAUUACAUGAAUAAAAAGCUGUGCUUUGGAUGUCAAAAA